rnacentral:lncRNA from 1 species
CAAGGAGACCAAUAAUAUUGUAUGUUAAACAAAUACACCCAUCAAACUUUCUUUUUAUAGUAUAAGCUAAAGCUUAGAUAAUUAAAUUAUCAAAUAUGCACAUGAAGCAUUCUUUUCUCUUGUUUACAUUCCCUUAAUUAAUUUUCUUGUUUACAUUCCCUUAAUUAAUUUCAACAUGUAAGCUUUAAUUUGUUGACUUAAAAGCAUCUUAAAUCUUAAUUAAUACUUUGGAUUGUCCCAAAUUGAGUCGAGAUCAAUUUUUAUGUCUAAACUCGACUCUUGAAAAGGAUUACUAAAAAUUUUCAUAUUUGAAUUUAAAUGGAAAAUUGUUAUUAAAUAAAAGAUAAUUAUAAUUUCAUAGUUCAAAUUUAAAACUCAAUAUAUUUAUUUAUCAAAUUUUUUAAAUCUAAUAUUUAAAUAUAUCAAAUGGUUUAAACUAUUUAAUCUAAAUUUAGAUUAAAUAUUUUUAAAUAUAAAAACAUUAGUUAAUUGUAUAAAUUUUCAUCGUUUAAUAAAUCUAAAGUAAACCUUAAAUCCUAAACCAUUUAAUAUAUAUAAAAUUGAUCUAUUGUCUCUUAAAUAAUUUAAACUAUCUCCUAAACCCCUAUCUCCUAAAUCCUAAAUCAUAAAACAUAAACUCUAAACCCCUAACCCCUAACCCCUCUUUUUACAAUUAUAUAAGAACUUAAUUAAUAUAUAAAUUAAAAAAUACUAAUUAAUCUAAACCUUAAACCCUAACCCGACCUCGAAUCUCUAAACCUUAAAUCACUAACUCUUAA